GUUUUUGUAGUUGAAUAACAACGGUGGUUUUUCAGAUCAUUGGUCCUGGUUAAAGCCCAGGUGAAAAUU
rnacentral:tRNA from 1 species